GAUCCCGAUCCAGAGGGGAUUGAGGCUGGGAGUGGGCGGCGAUGGCUGAGGGCGGCCUCUCCCUAUCCAUCCUUCCUAUCUCUGUCGAGGCCAUGAGCUCAUCGGCCAGGCAUAGGCGCUCAUCGAUCUAAAAAAAAGGCACCAAACCACUCGAACCUCUCCCAUGUCCCUUUCUUCUCCAUCUUCCAAUAUCCUCUGUUAUGAAGUUCUAACAGUACAUCAAUCAAUGCAAGCAACUCUUUUCAGAUUAAUUAAGGAAUCAAUCUCCCAUGGUGGAUGCUUGAUGCAGCAGAGGGGGCCAGAAUGAAGUGCCGUCGUGGUGGUGCGCGGCUAGCGCACAACCCUCACCAUGGCUGUGGUUUCAGGCGCCUCCACACUGGCGUGGCUCCGGUGCCUCCGGCGGCUCCUCUCCGACGCCCACCGCGCCCACACACGCACCUUUUCUGUCUCUAAUAUCUGGUUUGAUCCUCCAUGGUAGAUGUGCAUGGCAAGGAUUGGAUGCUUGAGGCAGGAGGGGUCGACCUUGCCCUGCUGCAGCUCAGGACGCUCCACCCAUGGAGCUUUCUCCUUUCUGUCUUCAGUUGAUAAUUGCCAAUCAGAUCAGCUUAACUGACCACGCGAACAAUCAUUAAAUGAAUCGGUCAGCGGGGAGAUGUUUAAUCUAGGGGCAGAUUUUGUAUGGAUGACAACUUCUUAAUUAGAUUGGGCGCUUCCGGUGAGCCUAUCGGGCGUACAAACUACAUUCCUGCCCCAACUAUGCAGGCAAGUGAUCCUUAUCCUUCGAUUCACUUCUCUAAUUUCCAAUCCGAUGAAUUCAUCGACCAAGCCCCACAAAUCGGCUGAUGUCUGAUUUAUAAUGCAAUAAAAAAAUGUUUUGUAGUUCUAUUGACAAUCAUACUGUUGGCCAGAUUAUGAGCUGAAGGAAGGAGAUUUGUUCUCCAUCGCCCCAAGCAGCACCAUAAAAUAUUUGCAGUAGGGAUGCGCUCCCUGAAUUAACUAAUCAUCAAACACCGGACAACCAGUUCACUUCGAAUCCAAGUCACUUGGAUGUUUCUUGAAGGCUUUAGAGAUGUUUUUCCAUGUAACCUUAACUAACCUGACCUUCAUUGUGUGUACUGAGUAGAAGUAUGGCUUCAGGUAUGCUACAUUGCUACCCAGCAUAUAUAAAUUUGAAUAUGCAUGAAGUUUGCUAAAUCACACUUUGCAGCAGAAACUUUCAGAGAAAGGUAUUCUGCAAACGUAUAUGCAUGACUGCCCGGAUAUAUGGCACAAAUACGUUUUGCAUAUACUAAUAUAAUCUGUCUAAAUUUUUGACUAAUUUAAUAACCACCAGUUGCCAGUAAGUUCUAAAUAUCAAUACCAAUUGAAAUGCAUAUGCCGCUGCAGAUUCAACUCAAGAGUCUGCACUCAUGUAGGUAUGUCACUGAUUUAUCUCUAUACAUGGUUCAAUCUUCCUGUUACAGGCAAAUCUUAGUAAAAAAGGCCAUUGUUCUUCGGGACAGGUGAGAAAUAAUGUGUUCUUUUCAGAAGAGUAUAGAUGAAAAUGUGUUGAUGUAAAGUUUUCAGUUUGCAAAUGCUCAUGCCCUUAUAUGUGAUUUUGGAAAAAAAAAAGAGACCUGGGUGACUAGGUAAAAGUUUCUCUUGAAUUUGGUUUGUAGUUUGCUUGAAUAGGAGGUUUCGUCAAUUCGUGCACACGCAUUACAUAUAGCACAUAGUGUGUCAAUGUUACCAACAAAUGAUUUGUCAAAGUGAAAUAAUAAAUCAAGAGUGUCUCUUAUUUACAAAAAUAAUUAAGAUGAGCCAAAGGUAAAGGAUGGUGAGAGCUUAUUAAGAACCAUGUAUAUGUGUAGGAAAACUGGGAUGGACUAUCAAAGGUAAGAUGGUCCUCCAAGUGUUUUCGUAUCAAAGAAGCAACACUAACUUUGAUCAUUUAGUAAAGUACUUAAAUUAGGUCUGUUUGUCUUAUAUUGUACAGUAGCUAUUUCAAAAAAAUAUGAAGUGUAUAUAUAUAGGAAUGUCUACUGCUAUUUAGUCCUCCCAUGCAGUCUUUAGGUGUAUUAUUUUUUUCUGAUAAAAGAAGUUUGUUGAGAAAUCCUAAUAUAUGAUCAGUCUGGCUUUUUCUCUAUGCAAAAGAUGUUUGUACUGCAGACUGCAUCAAACUGACGCCAUACUAUUAUGUUGCUUCUUUUCCUCAACUUUUACAUUUUUCUAUGCUAUUUAUUGGUUCGUCCAUGAAAUUUGUAUGUGAUAUCUCAGAGACUUAUUUAUUUCAGUCUCUAUUACUGAACUGAUUGGUUUCA